UAUAAAUAUUUAACUUAAUACGUUCAUUAUUAUUUUAUUAAUUUAUCGUCACGCGUCAUUUACCAGUUGCCUAAUUACGAAAAGUUUCAUAUGACAUUAACCUCAAAAAUGAUCUUUGAAAACAAACAACAAACAGAGCAACAAAUGAUCAAAUAACUACAUAAUGACUGAUAAUGAUAAGUGAUAAUAAUAACUUUAAUGAUAUGAAGGCUGAUGAAGGUAAUUAUAAACAUUAUUUUGAGUUUGUUUAAUAAAAUAUAGGAUACAAUAUAACUAAGCAAAAUCAAACAGUUUUAGACAACCAAUACAAGAUACUAGAACUUGACAUCGUUAUAAACAAAUUGUACAUUCAGGAACUCGUUUAAAUAUUAUAGGUUGAUUGACGAAUACUCUACAGUUGAUUAGAGCCCAUGAUGAUGCGAAGAUAAUUAAUAUCACAAGGAUAUCACCUAACUUCAAGAAACCAGCAUAAAGAAGUUUACAUUCAUAACUCAUCUAACCAUUAUAGGUAAUAAUUUACAAAAUUAGCCAUUUUUGAUUAUAAUAUUAAGGUACUUAGGUACAUUUUUAUCUUCUAGAUCAGUAAUGUCGUCAUAAUUUAAAUGAACUCACAGAUAGCAAUGGGGCACUGCACCGAAGCAGUAUUACAAAAUAUGUGAAAUAAAACUGUAAUACAAAUUGCUCUAUAAAAUUUAAUAGAAAUAAAUUUAUUUAUGAAAAUUAAGUUAUGAAGUUUUAUUUUUCCUAGGAAAAAAAUAACAUUUAUAUUUUGAUCAAUUUAGAACAUUACAGUUAAAAAAAUAUGUGUUAGAAUAACAUAUUUUUAAUAAAAUUGCAGCUUUUAAUUUUUAUACUUUUUUGCUUUUAUAUCAAUAAGAACUAACGUAAGGAACAAUUCAUAUUUAUACUAUGAAAACACAUGCAUAUUUUUUGAUGUUUUUAAAACCAGUGAAUGAUGUUGAAAUAUACUACACCUAUUAUUCUUAUUAACUAACUUUAAUUACAAACUUACACAUUAUUGUCAUUGGAAAUAAAUUAAUUUGGAUAUUCUA
rnacentral:lncRNA from 1 species